CCCUUAGAUGUCCUGGGCCGCACGCGCGCUACACUGAGUGUCUGAGAUACGAGUCUGCCUGGUCCGGCAAGGUCUAGGUAAUCGCUAAAAGACACAUCAUGCUUGGGAUAGAUUAUUGCAAAUAUUAAUCUUGAACGAGGAAUUCCUAGUAAGCGCAAGUCAACAGCUUGCGUUGAUUACGUCCCUGCCCUUUGUACACACCGCCCGUCGCUACUACCGAUUGGGAAAAUUUUAGAGAGUCCUGGACUGAUGAUUGUUCGGCUUCACGGCCUUACUUUCGUCGGGAAAGAAUUCGAUAAUAUUUUUCUAGAGGAAGUAAAAGUCGUAACG
rnacentral:rRNA from 1 species